UGGGGAAUCUUGCACAAUGGGGGAAACCCUGAUGCAGCGACGCCGCGUGAGUGAUGAAGCCCUUCGGGGUGUAAAGCUCUUUCGGCAGGGACGAUAAUGACGGUACCUGAAGAAGAGGCUGCGGCUAACUACGUGCCAGCAGCCGCGGUAAUACGUAGGCAGCGAGCGUUGUUCGGAGUUACUGGGCGUAAAGAGUGCGUAGGCGGUUUUCUAAGUUUGGUGUGAAAUCUCCCGGCUUAACUGGGAGGGUGCGCCGAAGACUGGAAGGCUAGAGUAUGGGAGAGGUAAGCGGAAUUCCUGGUGUAGCGGUGAAGUGCGUAGAUAUCAGGAGGAACACCUGCGGUGUAGACGGCUUACUGGACCAUAACUGACGCUGAGGCACGAAAGCGUGGGUAGCAAACAGGAUUAGAUACCCUGGUAGUCCACGCCCUAAACGAUGCAUACUUGGUGUGGGUAGUUCAUUCUAUCCGUGCCGGAGCUAACGCGUUAAGUAUG
rnacentral:rRNA from 1 species